rnacentral:rRNA from 1 species
GUGAGUGGCGAACUGGUGAGUAACACGUGGGAAACCUGCCCAGAAGCGGGGGAUAACACCUGGAAACAGAUGCUAAUACCGCAUAACAACUUGGACCGCAUGGUCCGAGUUUGAAAGAUGGCUUCGGCUAUCACUUUUGGAUGGUCCCGCGGCGUAUUAGCUAGAUGGUGGGGUAACGGCUCACCAUGGCAAUGAUACGUAGCCGACCUGAGAGGGUAAUCGGCCACAUUGGGACUGAGACACGGCCCAAACUCCUACGGGAGGCAGCAGUAGGGAAUCUUCCACAAUGGACGAAAGUCUGAUGGAGCAACGCCGCGUGAGUGAAGAAGGGUUUCGGCUCGUAAAACUCUGUUGUUAAAGAAGAACAUAUCUGAGAGUAACUGUUCAGGUAUUGACGGUAUUUAACCAGAAAGCCACGGCUAACUACGUGCCAGCAGCCGCGGUAAUACGUAGGUGGCAAGCGUUGUCCGGAUUUAUUGGGCGUAAAGCGAGCGCAGGCGGUUUUUUAAGUCUGAUGUGAAAGCCUUCGGCUCAACCGAAGAAGUGCAUCGGAAACUGGGAAACUUGAGUGCAGAAGAGGACAGUGGAACUCCAUGUGUAGCGGUGAAAUGCGUAGAUAUAUGGAAGAACACCAGUGGCGAAGGCGGCUGUCUGGUCUGUAACUGACGCUGAGGCUCGAAAGUAUGGGUAGCAAACAGGAUUAGAUACCCUGGUAGUCCAUACCGUAAACGAUGAAUGCUAAGUGUUGGAGGGUUUCCGCCCUUCAGUGCUGCAGCUAACGCAUUAAGCAUUCCGCCUGGGGAGUACGGCCGCAAGGCUGAAACUCAAAGGAAUUGACGGGGGCCCGCACAAGCGGUGGAGCAUGUGGUUUAAUUCGAAGCUACGCGAAGAACCUUACCAGGUCUUGACAUACUAUGCAAAUCUAAGAGAUUAGACGUUCCCUUCGGGGACAUGGAUACAGGUGGUGCAUGGUUGUCGUCAGCUCGUGUCGUGAGAUGUUGGGUUAAGUCCCGCAACGAGCGCAACCCUUAUUAUCAGUUGCCAGCAUUAAGUUGGGCACUCUGGUGAGACUGCCGGUGACAAACCGGAGGAAGGUGGGGAUGACGUCAAAUCAUCAUGCCCCUUAUGACCUGGGCUACACACGUGCUACAAUGGAUGGUACAACGAGUUGCGAACUCGCGAGAGUAAGCUAAUCUCUUAAAGCCAUUCUCAGUUCGGAUUGUAGGCUGCAACUCGCCUACAUGAAGUCGGAAUCGCUAGUAAUCGCGGAUCAGCAUGCCGCGGUGAAUACGUUCCCGGGCCUUGUACACACCGCCCGUCACACCAU